UCCCUGAUAGCUCAGUUGGUAGAGCACUCGGCUGUUAACCGGGUUGUCACAGGUUCGAGUCCUGUUCGGGGAG
rnacentral:tRNA from 1 species